rnacentral:rRNA from 1 species
CAUUAAUCGUGAAACCGCGAAUGGCUCAUUAUAACAGCUAUAAUUUACUUGAUCUUGACACAAUCCUACUUGGAUAACUGUGGUAAUUCUAGAGCUAAUACAUGCAUUAAAGCUCUGACCUCACGGGAAGAGUGCAUUUAUUAGAACAAAACCAAGCGGCUUCGGCUGUUUCUGGUUGACUCAUAGUAACUGAGCUGAUCGCAUGGUCUUGCACCGGCGACGUGUCUUUCAAGUAUCUGCCGUAUCAACUUUCGAUGGUAGUGUAUCUGACUACCAUGGUGAUCACGCGUAACGGAGAAUAAGGGUUCGGCUCCGGAGAGUUCGCCUGAGAAAUCGCGAACACAUCUAAGGAAGGCAGCAGGCGCGAAAAUUACCCACUCUCAGCACGAGGAGGUAGUGACGAAAAAUAACGAGACCGUUCUCUUAUGAGGCCGGUCAUCGGAAUGGGUACAAUUUAAA